rnacentral:rRNA from 1 species
GUCUAUGGCCAUGCCACCCUGAACAAGCCCGAUCCUGUCUGAUCUCAGAAGGUAAGCAGGGUCGGGCCUAGUUAGUACUUGGAUGGGAGACGACCUAGGAAGACCAGGUGCUGUAGGCA